CGCGUACUGCAUCGCCGCCGCACCAGGAAUUGAACCAGAAUGGUGCGGGCAGCAGAGUCCCGACACUGGUUGUUGCGCGCGGAUCGAUGCCUUUUUUUCACGGUCGGCAUCUGAUCGAUCGCCACACCACAUCCCCGUCCGGACGUUUUGCGUCGUCAGCUUCAACCGAUCAGUCGGUGUUCAGAAGCUACCCCAUGAUAG
rnacentral:lncRNA from 1 species